UUUUUGCAUUAUAGUUCCAUCUUGAAGUAAUAUCAUAAGCGUUUUGUUAUAUUUUGCAUUUAGCGUUCGAAUACUUUUCUAAUCAAAAACUAAACUUUCGGUUCGUUUUGAUUAAUGAUUUGUCACAACUCAAGAAAAGGGGGAAAAACAAAGCACAGUAGGAUGUAAUCUCAUAUCAAAUGAUCAUGUAAUGCAAAUUCGGUGUGCCUGCUCGUCGACUCCCUUGUUUAUCGACGCCUGCCAGCGAAAAAAGUGUGAAUGGGAGUGUCCUCAUGAAGUUUGUGACCACCCCUGUUAUGAGUUUUGUAAACGAGCUCCGUGUGACAAACCGUGCAAGAAAAUGUUUCGUUGCGGACAUACUUGUAAUGGUCUUUGCGGUGAAAGUUGCCCGCCCAAAUGCCCAUCUUGUGCCUACGUUAAAAUACCUAACUACAACCCCAAAGCAUGGUACAAACCCCAUGGUACAAACCCCCCCUAAAUGGACUUCGAAUUCUUGCCUCAUCGGUCCCGUGCUACUCACGUGCCACCUAGUGCCAACCGAAGAGAACCUUCCCGGUCUUACGGCGGGACUGAUACACGUUCCAUUCACGAUCCGUGAUUAACAAUAGACCAUACGAUUUUUCUAUUGUAGCGUUUUUCAUAUGUCGACGAUGGAUGAAAGAGUGACGCAAGUUUGAAUAACGAUUGGAAUAAUGACCACACUGGCUGGUUACAUGGAAAGCAAAGGCUAUAAACUCCAAAUGGAGGAAAUUAGGUGUCCACAUGAAUUAUAAACGGUGGAUUAAUAGGACGACCAAACCCAUUCUUUUUUCACGUUCUCUGCAGUUAACCAUCACAAAUAUGUUUUAAUUCUGUUUUAUAUAAAUCAGGCAGAAAUGUAAAUAAAUUCUUGUCGUGACCCUCGGACUGCUCAAAGUUGUGGUGAUGAUGCGGCUUUAAGAAGUCGGAAUGAGCUGCAGCGAGUUCAUCUAAGUUAAUGUCCGUUAGGGUAGACUAUUAGAUUUAGCUGUUUAUUUUGUAAACGCAUGGGGGGGGGGAAUAAGCAGCAAUAAUUGGGAAGGCGCAAUCAAGUAAACUAAUCUUAAGGGCCGUUUUCAAAAUAAGCCCAUAACCCCCAAAACAAAAAUUUCAAGAUUGAAAAAUAGCAAAGAAAAACAAUCUUUGUUUUUGGGGGUAACAUAGCCUUAACCUCAUUCGACCUACCCAUCAGCCAGUAUUCAAUCAACAUGGCAAAUUUUUACAUAUUUAUAUCGUUAUGCCUGGCGCCUCUCUCUCUGUAUUUCACCUUCAGUCUCUCUCGCUCUCUCCUGUCUUCUUCUCUCUCUCUCUUUAAGCCAUCACACCUUCGAUUGCUGGGCAAAGCCAGCCACACUUUCCCAGCUAGCCAUCUACCCCAGAACGUCUGCACUCGUCUUCGCUGUACUAAACUCAAUGCCAUCCCUUUUUCUUUUUGCUCUUCUUCCCGCUUCUUCCCUCCUUUUCUCUCCGACGACAAUCAUUCGUCUGUUUCUCUUGAAGUGGAUAUAACGUUGCCUUCGAAUUAGUUUCCCAGAAUCCAAUUCAUAACAAUAUAAACUAAAAUGAUUGCUUGAGUUUUUGUUUUGUUUUACAUUUUAUUCAAAGUCGGCUUCUACGAGAAAAAGAAAAACAUUUUUGCAGUGCGCACAGCGACAUCAUUUACCCCACAAUCUAACAAGGCUGAAAAGAUUCCGGUGUGAUCAGUUCGAUCGAAACUAAAAUUGCAUUUGUACAAUACAAAAGCAUUUACUAGAUUAUAACAGAACAGAACGAAUCUGUUCAGGCAUGAGUCUUCUUGUCGUUUCUGCCGUUUUCUGUCAUCUACAGAAAACAAGGCGAAUAUGACGUGCACAAUACGACAUACUGACUGUAGUAACCAACCAGCUAGUCAUUUUCACUUCCAUACAAUCGCCAAUGUAACGGGCCGAACGACAGCCAUCAAAAGAUUUCAUAUUCAUAGAAAUAUGCUACUCAUAUGCCACCUGGUGGCAACCGAAGAGUAACUUCUAGGUCUUAUGGCGGGAUUGGUAUACAUGUUCCAGUCACGAUCCGUGAGUGCAACCGUUUCCGUUUCUAUUGUAGCAUUUUUUGCGUGUCAAAAUUUGUUUAGCAUAAUUGAGAUUCUUAAUAAUAAGUAACACAGCAAGUGACGAAUAAAGUUCAUUUUUUAUUAUUGUCAAUCUAGUUCACCGUGUUUGCGAAAUUUAGCAUUAAAGCUAAACUGACGCCAUAAUGAGCUGCAGCUUUUUUCGAUCAUCUAUGAGACAGUAUAAAAGACUUGAUGAAGCAAAUUUCGUAUGGUAAGUAUGAUAGGUAAGUAUACGCUUAGUCGGGUUGGUGCAGUGGUUCGAGUGAUAUCAGCUUGCAGCUAUCACUUGUGACCCCAAAUCACGAACCAAGCACACGGUCAUUCCUCCAAUAAUGUGACCGUACUUAGUGCUCGUUGCAUUCGAAUCCGUUCGAAUCAACGUCCUGACUUUUU